rfam:Firmicutes bacterium CAG:83 genomic scaffold, scf210
AUUGAAUCACUGAACAGCGGCGCAGUAUCCUAGUCAGAUCUGCCGUCUUCUAAGAAGGGCCUAAAAAUCCUUUUAAGGGCACAACUGUGAAACUCCUGGUGCCUGCUGCUUACGCCCAGUUUGGGGUGGGUGCUGGGAGGAGAUGCGGGAGCCCCCGCAUCUGCGGUGGUGGGGCGCCCUCCAAUGGCAUGGAGGACCCGACCCUGCCUCUGUGGAGACCUGCUGUUGUGCACAGGCGUACUCCCUUUGUGGUCAAGCGACCUGUGUACGAGGCAGAUUGUGAACCUGCAAUGCGGUGCUACCCGGCCUUGUGCCGUGAACGCUGUGUGCAGAGUAGCCUGCCUUGCGUGGGUAGGGUAGAUAGGGAAGUGGAAGCACCACUGCCCCCGGCCAGGGGCAGCGUGUUGAUUCUCUCGAAACCCUGCCUGCAAAAGAGGCUAAGAGACGGUUUGACUGCUGUGGAAAUCACCUAGGCUGUCCCACAGGGGCGCAGGGGGGAUUGCAGUGCGGACUAAGUGGCAGUCGGGUCCCAUGACCGGUAACAUCAUGGUGCGGCACCGAACGGGAAACCGCCUGAUCGGCAACGAGAGGUGUGCUGUGGGGAAAUCCUACCCGUACCUAAGCCGCAAGAUUAACCCUCGGCGCUGCCCUGUUCAGUAUUUUCUUA